GGAAUUUUGGACAAUGGGGGCAACCCUGAUCCAGCCAUGCCGCGUGUCUGAAGAAGGCCUUCGGGUUGUAAAGGACUUUUGUACGGGAAGAAAAGGGAAGUGCUAAUACCAUUUUCUGCUGACGGUACCGUAAGAAUAAGCACCGGCUAACUACGUGCCAGCAGCCGCGGUAAUACGUAGGGUGCGAGCGUUAAUCGGAAUUACUGGGCGUAAAGCGAGCGCAGACGGUUGAUUAAGCCAGAUGUGAAAUCCCCGAGCUUAACUUGGGACGUGCAUUUGGAACUGGUUAGCUAGAGUGUGUCAGAGGGAGGUAGAAUUCCACGUGUAGCAGUGAAAUGCGUAGAGAUGUGGAGGAAUACCGAUGGCGAAGGCAGCCUCCUGGGAUAACACUGACGUUCAUGCUCGAAAGCGUGGGGAGCAAACA
rnacentral:rRNA from 1 species